rnacentral:rRNA from 1 species
UACGAAGGGGGCGAGCGUUGUUCGGAUUUACUGGGCGUAAAGGGCGCGCAGGCGGUCUUGAAAGUCAGGCGUGAAAGCCCCGGGCUUAACCUGGGAAUUGCGCUUGAUACUCUGAGACUGGAGUACGGGAGAGGAGAGUGGAAUUCCCAGUGUAGAGGUGAAAUUCGUAGAUAUUGGGAAGAACACCGGUGGCGAAGGCGGCCAACUGGACCACAACUGACGCUGAGGCGCGAAAGCGUGGGGAGCAAACAGG